CAAUUGGUUCCACCAGGGGUUGGAAUCCCUUGGUGAAAAGAGAGAUUGCAUAAUGAAGCCACAUUCAAUAGGGGCUCGCUAUUCAGUGUGCCUCCUGACUGGAUCGCUCUUUUAUCCUGGAUCAUUUUCUCCAGCUAUUUAUUUCUGUGCGGUGGUGGAAACAUUGACGACAAAAUGGCACCUUCUUACCCGGUUGCCUGUGCGUCUGACUCACACCUGCUGACAGGACCAAGCCUGCCAGCAGCGGCGUGGCUCCCCGGGGAGCCGGAGCAGGUGAAGCAUCUGUCGGAGGACAUUUAUUUGGAGGAGUGUUUAGAAUGCUUAUCCUUUCAAAAUCAAGCAUCUGUUUGAUCUAAACGACGACGACGACAACGACGAUGAUGAUGAGGUUCACAUCCAUUGAGAGGAGAGGACAAAUUGAAGCAUUGUCCUUUUCCCCUUUCCAGGAGGCUGUGACAUUGACUAAUACUUUGUUUCUUAUUAACGACAAUAGACAGGCUGGUGCUCAGUUCUCAUUUUUUUUUUUUCCAUUUCUCCCCACCCCACACUCUUUAGACCGCAACUCUUUGCGAGGCAGCUGUCCCAUGAGUAAAGAUCGUGUUAUUACAUCGAG